rnacentral:rRNA from 1 species
GCUCAGCCGUAAACAAAAACAGUAAAAACACAAUACUGUUCGCCAGAGAACUACAAGCAAAACUCGAAACUCCAAGGACUUGGCGGUGCUCCAUAUCAGCCUAGAGGAGCCUGUCCUAUAAUCGAUACCCCCCGAUCUACCUCACCGCUUUUUGAAACUCAGCCUAUAUACCGCCGUCGUCAGCCUACCUUGUGAAAGAAACUAAAGUAAGCAAAAUAGCCCCUUACUAAAACGUCAGGUCAAGGUGUAGCACAUAAAGCGGAAGAGAUGGGCUACACUCUCUCCCCCAGAGAACACGAACAGCACCAAUGAAACACUGCUCAAAGGCGGAUUUAGUAGUAAGAUAAACAAGAGAACUUAUCUUAAACCAGCCCUGGAGCGCGC